rfam:Gossypium hirsutum cultivar TM-1 unplaced genomic scaffold scaffold104.1, whole genome shotgun sequence
UGUUAAAAAUUUCAUUCAUUUGUAUUGUUAAAACUAGUGUGACUGAUAAAAUAAUUAAACAGUAAUAUGUGACAUGCCGCAUGUAUUUUAUGCUGACGUGUAAGAAUCAAUUUUUAACAGUAGAAAUAAAUAAAGUUUUUAAUA